rnacentral:rRNA from 1 species
UAGGGAAUCUUCGGCAAUGGACGAAAGUCUGACCGAGCAACGCCGCGUGAGUGAAGAAGGUUUUCGGAUCGUAAAACUCUGUUGGUAGAGAAGAACGUUGGUGAGAGUGGAAAGCUCAUCAAGUGACGGUAACUACCCAGAAAGGGACGGCUGACUACGUGCCAG